rnacentral:rRNA from 1 species
AUGCACGCUGGCGGCGUGCUUAAUACAUGCAAGUCGAACGGAAAGGCCCUGCUCUUGCGGGGUGCUUGAGUGGCGAACGGGUGAGUAACACGUGAGUAACCUGUCCCUGUCUUUGGGAUAACUUUUGGAAACUGGGGCCCAUACAGGAUAUGAGCUUUUGCAGCACGGGGGGGGAUGGUAAGAUUCGGCGGUUGGGGCUGGUCUCGCGGCUUAUCAGCUUGUUGGUGGGGUUGUGACUUACAAAGGUUUUGACGGGUAGGCGGCCUUGGAGGGUGACCGGGCACAUUAGUACUGAGGUACGGCCCAGACUCCUACGGGAGGCAGCAGGCGGGAAUAUUACGCAGUAGGCGGGAGCCUGAUACAGCAGCCCCGCGUGCGUGAUAACGGCCUUCGAGGUGUGAACCGCUGUCGCCGGUAACGAAGCGUGAGUGACGGUAAUGAGUAAGAAAGCACCGGCUAACUACGUG